GUUCCUGUCAAUGCUAGACAGGGGCUUCUUCAAGUUCGUCGCGCCGUGCACGUUCUACGGCUCGCCACUUCAGACUCCAUCUCAGGAUGAUCAGGGCAAGGAGAAGAAGAAGAAGCAACCCACAGUGAUGCUGGUGUUCUUGUGCAUCCCGGUGUCUCCGGGGAGGAGCAGGUUGGUCUGGGCAUUCCCGCGGAACGUCGGCGUCUGGAUGGACAAGAUCAUACCACGGUGGUACUACCACAUUGGGCAGAA
rnacentral:misc_RNA from 1 species